rnacentral:rRNA from 1 species
UGAAUACGAGACGCUACGGCGUCGAAGCAGUCUAUGUCAUACUUCCAAGAAAAGCUUGCACUGUCAUAAACAAAUAAUGCCUGUACCAUAACCGACACAGGUGGGUAGGUAGAGUAUACUAAGGGGCGCGAGAUAACUCUCUCUAAGGAACUCGGCAAAAUGACUCCGUAACUUCGGGAGAAGGAGUGCCUUAUUUAUAAGGUUGCAAUAACAAGAUCCAAGCAACUGUUUAUCAAAAACACAGGUCUCCGCUAAGUCGUAAGACGAUGUAUGGGGGCUGACGCCUGCCCAGUGCCAGAAGGUUAAAGAAGUCGGUUAGCGUAAGCGAAGCUGGUAACUGAAGCCCUGGUGAACGGCGGCCGUAACAAUAACGGUCCUAAGGUAGCGAAAUUCCUUGUCGGGUAAGUUCCGACCCGCACGAAAGGCGUAAUGAUUUGGAUUCUGUCUCGGAGAGGGGCUCGGUGAAAUAGACUUGUCUGUGAAGAUGCGGACUACCUGCACCAGGACAGAAAGACCCUAUGAAGCUUUACUGUAACUUGAAAUUGAAAUUGGACUUUAUUUGCGCAGUAUAGGUGGGAGGCGUUGAAAAUAUUCUUGCGGGAAUAUUGGAGCCAUCAGUGAGAUACCACUCUUAUAAUGUUAGAUUUCUAACUUUGUAUCAUUAUCUGGUCAAAGAACAGUUUCAGGCGGGCAGUUUGACUGGGGCGGUCGCCUCCUAAACGGUAACGGAGGCGCACAAAGGUUUCCUCUGAACGGGUAGAAAUCGUAUCUAGAGUGUAAAGGCAUAAGGAAGCUUGACUGUGAGACCUACAAGUCGAGCAGGGACGAAAGUCGGUCUUAGGGAUCUGACGGUGCUGAGUGGAAAGGCCGUCACUCAACGGAUAAAAGUUACUCUAGGAUAACAGGCUGAUCUCCCCCAAGAGUUCACAUCGACGGGGAGGUUUGGCACCUCGAUGUCGGCUCAUCGCAUCCUGGGGCGGUAGUACGUCCCAAGGGUUGGGCUGUUCGCCCAUGAAAGCGGUACGCGAGCUGGGUUCAGAACGUCGUGAGACAGUUCGGUCCAUAUCCGGUGUAGGCGUUAGAAUAUUGAGAGGAGCCUUCUUUAGUACGAGAGGACCGAGAAGGACAUACCUCUGGUGUACCAGUUAUCGUGCCAACGGUAAACGCUGGGUAGCCAUGUAUGGAGAGGAUAACCGCUGAAAGCAUCUAAGUGGGAAGCCCACCUCAAGAUAAG